GACGAACGCUGGCGGCGUGCUUAACACAUGCAAGUCGAACGGAAAGGCCCCCUUGUGGGGUACUCGAGUGGCGAACGGGUGAGUAACACGUGAGUAACCUACCCUUGACUUUGGGAUAACUUCAGGAAACUGGGGCUAAUCACGGAUAGGAGCUCCUGCUGCAUGGUGGGGGUUGGAAAGUUUCGGCGGUUGGGGAUGGACUCGCGGCUUAUCAGCUUGUUGGUGGGGUAGUGGCUCACCAAGGCUUUGACGGGUAGCCGGCCUGAGAGGGUGACCGGCCACAUUGGGACUGAGAUACGGCCCAGACUCCUACGGGAGGCAGCAGUGGGGAAUAUUGCACAAUGGGCGGAAGCCUGAUGCAGCAACGCCGCGUGCGGGAUGACGGCCUUCGGUUUGUAAACCGCUUUCGCCUGUGACGAAGUGUGAGUGACGGUAAUGGGUAAAGAAGCACCGGCUAACUACGUG
rnacentral:rRNA from 1 species